CAGAACGUGGGUCUGAAAGUCAGGGAGACAGCCGACCUAGUUUAGUAGUCCUACUUGGUGAGAAGUGAGAGAAUAUGCAUUAUCCACCGUCGAAUGUCAAAGCAUGGUAUAAGGGAUCCCAGGAUCUCAUCCAAAUUCUGGGUUCAGAAUGAUGCAAGGACGUCUCAGGUUCCGACGUACAAAGGUUCAGAGACUUCGUGUGCAAGAAUCCAUGCCACGUCUGGAUCCACCGGGAAUUGUCCGCACACUACAACUACAAACUGUUCGCUGUAGAUGAUAUUCUGUGCCAGCCCCCAACAGUCAAAGGCAUAGCUAUGGCAACCAUUAAGUCAUAAAUUAAAGCUCUAUAUUGGGGGACUCAGAAGGAAGUACAAAAAUAAAUUAAGACCAUAUUUUUUUCACCCAUUUUGGAAAGAUAAACCCAUAUAAAGUAUAAUAUAGACCAUUUUAAAUUAAGUUUAAAUAUUUCAUGCUUUUAUUAUUUAUUACGCGCUAGGAAUCUAAUUCAUCUAGAUUUGGAGUGCUUUCGCUGCCAGCCUCUCCCAGUCAAAAAUUGAUUGGAUGUCAAGCGCUGUCAAUGGCAGCCAAUGAGUUAAAUGUUGAUGUUUAUGGCUUGCAAAAAUAAGAAACCCUAAAAUUUUAUGUCUCAGAAUUAUGAAAAAAAAAAUUCUGGGCCCUGCAACACAUUGUCUGUUAUUGCAGAAAUGUUGGUAUAGUUUUAGUUGCCACUUCUGGGAGAUGAUUGGAUGAAAUUUUACCCAUCAAAAUCAAAUUAUGAGGUGUGGCACGCCCUCUUUGCUUGUUGGCUCUUUGAAAAUGGCUUAACAAGUUCAACUUCAAAAGGGAUAAUGUAAAGUGCACAUUUCUAAUCAAAAACAUAACAUUAAAAAAAAAAAACAAUAAAAGCAUGAAAUAUCCCUGACCAAAAAAGUUAAAUAAAAUUAUAUAAAUGCGAACACUUUCACAGUCUAGGGCUAGGCACAUACAGAUGAGGCUAAUCAAUAACUAAAUUUGCCAUAUACGAUGUGUGCAUGUUUAGUUAUAUUUUAGGACUAGUUGGUUCAACUUUAAAUUACAUAUUUGCAGUUUUAUGUGAUGGUCCACAUGGUUAUCAUCCCCAUGUCGAUGUCAGUCCCAGAAGUGCAGCUGCGACAGGCCUCGACUCCUGAAGAAAUUCAGCAAAUGUCAGAAUUUUCUAAUGAAUUGAAUGUCUACAACGAGACUAUCCAUCCUGCGUCAAAUAUUUGGACUUGUUUUAAAUGACAGCAUAGAAUGUUGGUUGUCGUUGAUGUGACAGUACCUCAAUAAUGUGAAGAAAUAAUAAAGGCAAUGAUUGUUUUUCUGCAAAGUAAUAUUUUAUUGAUGACCAGUGUAAUACAAUACAAAUGAUAAACAGGCAAUUGAUGUACAAAAAAGGAAUUCCAGCAAAACUAACUCGUUCAUCAAAAAAAUUGUCCACUGGACACCAACAUGAGCCACUUAAGGUCAGUAACUUUUUCCCCUAAUACUGGCCAACUGCUCACCAUCAGCAUUCCCUGAAAUGUAAAUUUAUUGCGUCUUCGGGGAGCUUUUAAAAAAAGCACGUAGAUAAGUGAGGACGAGAGAUGUCUUAUUGUUGAGGAACGACACCCCAACCUUCCUCAGAAGUAUCUAGAAGAAAAUAGAUGACAACGGCAAAAUGGUAUAAUAGAUAAGCUACGAAAGCAUUAAACGAGACACCAGCCGGUGAAAACAGUCUCCCGGAGCACCACACGAACUUGAAUGUGUGAAUUUUGCUUCACUAAAUUGCGCUAACGCUAAACUAUUCCUUGUGAGUUUAAUGUUGUUAGCAGCUUUAUCCAUGUCCCGCCUUGCCUCCCCUUCCUGAGACCCAAUGCAAGGUAUUAGCUUAUGGAAGAUUCAACAUACCUCAACUGGACUUAAGUAAAAAGUUUUUUAAAAAACACACACCAAAUUACCAAUUUAAUACGUACCUUGUCCUCAUCCAACCGAUUGCCAGCAUCCCGUAGCCGCUUGGAUUCCGACCUUCUCGUCUCGUCCCAUUAUUUUACGAAGCAAGCAAGCAGCAGGAAGUCAGACAUUACUUCGUCGAUCGAGAGGAUCACUGAACUGGCAUGUCGAUCGACCAAUGGGUGAAUAGUUCAACACAUGUAGUACCGCCCCCUCAUUUGAAUAACAUUUCCACUUGAACGUUGGCACUGACAAUGAAAUAAGUAAAUAUAUGGCAAAGCGUUUUUAUUUAUUGAUUGACAUUUAUUUCAAUCAAUAUAUUUAUUUUUGUAUUUAUUUCCACAUUUAUUUUUGUAUUUA